UGGGGAAUAUUGCACAAUGGGCGCAAGCCUGAUGCAGCCAUGCCGCGUGUAUGAAGAAGGCCUUCGGGUUGUAAAGUACUUUCAGCGAGGAGGAAGGCGUUGUGGUUAAUAACCGCAACGAUUGACGUUACUCGCAGAAGAAGCACCGGCUAACUCCGUGCCAGCAGCCGCGGUAAUACGGAGGGUGCAAGCGUUAAUCGGAAUUACUGGGCGUAAAGCGCACGCAGUCGGUCUGUCAAGUCGGAUGUGAAAUCCCCGGGCUCAACCUGGGAACUGCAUCCGAAACUGGCAGGCUAGAGUCUUGUAGAGGGGGGUAGAAUUCCAGGUGUAGCGGUGAAAUGCGUAGAGAUCUGGAGGAAUACCGGUGGCGAAGGCGGCCCCCUGGACAAAGACUGACGCUCAGUUGCGAAAGCGUGGGGAGCAAACA
rnacentral:rRNA from 1 species